GACUAGAAUCGUGCAUCUUCCGUGCCUUUCAAUUUUGUAUUUCAGAUUAACUGCUCCUUUUCCUCCACGAUCUGAAGGCCUUCUAAGAAAUUUCCUUCCCAGUUCAUCUGAGAAGCCUUCAGACCUGAAAUAUACCAAAGGCUGCAAUGUAUGGGAGGUGGAUGGUGAGAUUUUCUUGUAGGGAACGAGGAAGAGAAGCAGAACAUGAGAAUAAUAAGUACAAGCCAUUCUGAGGAGCACCAGAGCCAGGCCUUCACCUGACUUCCCGUGGGGACGCUGCAGUCUCAUUCGCGCUACGAUGGAAGCUGGCACCAAGGAGAGAGAUGCUAGUCCUGCCUCAUUGUUCACCACCAGGUGCGACUGAGCCGCUCACACCUGCACUCACCCUCUCCUCCCUGGCCUGUUGCAGAGCAUGCUUUAAAGAGAGAGGUCCAGGAACUGACACAAAGAAGUUUCCUUGUUUCUUCUUUAGGUUCUUCUGCCUGAUUUUAUCCUCGGCCCCUUUUGUCUCAUACCAUGUAUACUAAGACUA